rnacentral:rRNA from 1 species
AUUGAACGCUGGCGGCAGGCCUAACACAUGCAAGUCGAGCGGAUGAAGGGAGCUUGCUCCUGGAUUCAGCGGCGGACGGGUGAGUAAUGCCUAGGAAUCUGCCUGGUAGUGGGGGAUAACGUCCGGAAACGGGCGCUAAUACCGCAUACGUCCUGAGGGAGAAAGUGGGGGAUCUUCGGACCUCACGCUAUCAGAUGAGCCUAGGUCGGAUUAGCUAGUUGGUGGGGUAAAGGCCUACCAAGGCGACGAUCCGUAACUGGUCUGAGAGGAUGAUCAGUCACACUGGAACUGAGACACGGUCCAGACUCCUACGGGAGGCAGCAGUGGGGAAUAUUGGACAAUGGGCGAAAGCCUGAUCCAGCCAUGCCGCGUGUGUGAAGAAGGUCUUCGGAUUGUAAAGCACUUUAAGUUGGGAGGAAGGGCAGUAAGUUAAUACCUUGCUGUUUUGACGUUACCAAAAGAGUAAGCACCGGCUAACUUCGUG